GCUGCACGUGCUGGACGGCGUGCCUCCUUGACCAUCUCACCGGGUGUGGUGGGGAUCACGGGGUGUCGGCGCGGAAGGUUUUACCACAAACCCUUGUAUUUCCAUGUUUUCUGUCUGAACUGUCAUAAGAAUAAUUAAAACUUUCAACAACGGAUCUCUUGGUUCUCGCAUCGAUGAAGAACGCAGCGAAAUGCGAUAAGUAGUGUGAAUUGCAGAAUUCCGUGAAUCAUCGAAUCUUUGAACGCACAUUGCGCCUCCUGAUAUUCCGGGAGGCAUGCCUGUUCGAGCGUCAUUAAAAUCAAAUCAAGCGCUUGUGCUUGGUCAUGGAGGAGGAGUCCACCCUGUGGUCUCCCCACCGAAAUACAAAGGCGGAAGGACUCCGGUACACGGCGUAGUACUAACGUUCGCUUCGUACCUGGAAUCCUACCUGCCGUCAAACCCCCCACAAUUCUCU
rnacentral:rRNA from 1 species